UACGUAGGGGGCAAGCGUUGUCCGGAAUUAUUGGGCGUAAAGAGCGUGUAGGCGGUCCGUUAAGUCAGCUGUGAAAGUCAAGGGCUCAACCCUUGAAAGCCGGUUGAUACUGUCGGGCUAGAGUCCGGAAGAGGCGAGUGGAAUUCCCGGUGUAGCGGUGAAAUGUGUAGAGAUCGGGAGGAACACCGGUGGCGAAGGCGGGUCUCUGGGCAUCUCCUGACGCUGAGGCGCGAAAGCGUGGGGAGCAAACGGG
rnacentral:rRNA from 1 species